UUCUACCGCUUCAUCUGUAUUUAAUGAAAAGAUGAUCACAUCUGAUUUCAGAAGCUAAGCAGGGUUGGGCCUUGUUAGUAAUUAAAUGGGAGAUCACCAGGCAUUUCCAAGUAAAGGCAGGGA
rnacentral:rRNA from 1 species